UCGGCCUGCGCGGAAGAUGUAACGGGGCUAAGCUAUACACCGAAGCUGCGGCUACACACUUAUGUGUGUGGGGUAGGGGAGCGUUCUGUAAGCCGUUGAAGGUGGUCUGUAAGGGCUGCUGGAGGUAUCAGAAGUGCGAAUGCUGACAUGAGUAACGAUAAAGGGAGUGAAAAACUCCCUCGCCGGAAGACCAAGGGUUCCUGUCCAACGUUAAUCGGGGCAGGGUAAGUCGACCCCUAAGGCGAGGCCGAAAGGCGUAGUCGAUGGGAAACGGGUUAAUAUUCCCGUACUUCUUACAAUUGCGAUGGGGGGACGGAGAAGGCUAGGUGGGCCUGGCGACGGUUGUCCAGGUUCAAGUACGUAGGCGGAAGAAUUAGGUAAAUCCGGUUCUUCUUAACGCUGAGAUACGAUGUCGAGCUACUACGGUAGUGAAGUCAUUGAUGCCAUGCUUCCAGGAAAAGCCUCUAAGCUUCAGAUUGUAAGGAAUCGUACCCCAAACCGACACAGGUGGUCGGGUAGAGAAUACCAAGGCGCUUGAGAGAACUCGGGUGAAGGAACUAGGCAAAAUGGUACCGUAACUUCGGGAGAAGGUACGCUCUUAUCAGUGAAGUCCCUUGCGGAUGGAGCAGACGAGAGUCGCAGAUACCAGGUGGCUGCAACUGUUUAUUAAAAACACAGCACUGUGCAAAAUCGUAAGAUGACGUAUACGGUGUGACGCCUGCCCGGUGCCGGAAGGUUAAUUGAUGGGGUUAGACUUCGGUCGAAGCUCUUGAUCGAAGCCCCGGUAAACGGCGGCCGUAACUAUAACGGUCCUAAGGUAGCGAAAUUCCUUGUCGGGUAAGUUCCGACCUGCACGAAUGGCGUAAUGAUGGCCACGCUGUCUCCACCCGAGACUCAGUGAAAUUGAAAUCGCUGUGAAGAUGCAGUGUACCCGCGGCUAGACGGAAAGACCCCGUGAACCUUUACUACAGCUUGGCACUGAACAUUGAACCUACAUGUGUAGGAUAGGUGGGAGACUUUGAAACCGCGUCGCUAGAUGUGGUGGAGUCGUCCUUGAAAUACCACCCUUGUAGUUUUGAUGUUCUAACGUUGGUCCCUGAAUCGGGAUUACGGACAGUGCCUGGUGGGUAGUUUGACUGGGGCGGUCUCCUCCCAAAGAGUAACGGAGGAGCACGAAGGUGGGCUAAACACGGUUGGACAUCGUGUGGUUAGUGCAAUGGCAUAAGCCCGCUUGACUGCGAGAAUGACAAUUCGAGCAGGUGCGAAAGCAGGUCAUAGUGAUCCGGUGGUUCUGAAUGGAAGGGCCAUCGCUCAACGGAUAAAAGGUACUCCGGGGAUAACAGGCUGAUACCGCCCAAGAGUUCAUAUCGACGGCGGUGUUUGGCACCUCGAUGUCGGCUCAUCACAUCCUGGGGCUGAAGUCGGUCCCAAGGGUAUGGCUGUUCGCCAUUUAAAGUGGUACGCGAGCUGGGUUUAGAACGUCGUGAGACAGUUCGGUCCCUAUCUGCCGUGGGCGUUGGAAAAUUGAAGGGGGCUGCUCCUAGUACGAGAGGACCGGAGUGGACGAACCUCUGGUGUUCGGGUUGUCAUGCCAAUGGCAUUGCCCGGUAGCUAAGUUCGGAAUCGAUAACCGCUGAAAGCAUCUAAGCGGGAAGCGAGCCCUGAGAUGAGUUUUCCCUGAC
rnacentral:rRNA from 1 species